rnacentral:rRNA from 1 species
CCUACGGGAGGCAGCAGUGGGGGAUAUUGCACAAUGGGGGAAACCCUGAUGCAGCGACGCCGCGUGGGUGAAGAAGUAUUUCGGUAUGUAAAGCCCUAUCAGCAGGGAAGAAAGAAGACGGUACCUGACUAAGAAGCCCCGGCUAACUACGUGCCAGCAGCCGCGGUAAUACGUAGGGGGCGAGCGUUAUCCGGAUUCACUGGGUGUAAAGGGAGCGUAGACGGCCGUGCAAGCCAGGAGUGAAAGCCCGGGGCCCAACCCCGGGACUGCUCUUGGAACUGUGCGGCUGGAGUGCGGGAGGGGCAGGCGGAAUGCCUGGUGUAGCGGUGAAAUGCGUAGAUAUCAGGAGGAACACCGGCGGUGAAGGCGGCCUGCUGGACCGCGACUGACGUUGAGGCUCGAAAGCGUGGGGAGCGAACAGGAUUAGAUACCCCUGUAGUC